UAGAAGUACAUUUGCACAUUUUGAGUUUUCCCAAUAAAAAAACAAGGCUCCGUCUAUUAUUGUCGGUAACUGUCAUUAUAUAUAAACGAAGAAUAAACAUCGACAUUUCGACAACGAAAAUUCAUUUUAAUCUUCAACGGAUAUUUAAACCUGAGAACAAUUUUCAUACAAAUAUUUUUGAUGAAAGGCUAUAACGGGUGUUUGCUGUCAAGUAUUUGACACUUAUGCGUACAUUGAAGUGAGAUUAAAUAAAGGUUCCAUACUCUAUCCUCAAAUUGAAACUCUGAUAAAAUACAGCCAAAAACUUUUUUUUUUUAAAGAAAUGAAUAUAAUUAUGAAAAUUUUUAUCAGCAUCAUUAGUAUCCAAAAAAUAUAUGGCACUGCUGAUUUCAGCCAAAGUAUUAAACAGUACUGGAGCGCAGAGCUUUUUGCCAUGCUAAAUAAUCAGCCUGAAUUGCUUGGAAUCACUUGGAAAGAUAAAAAAAUGGUCGUUUCAUCAAACAGAUUGGUUCAGCUGUUUUCGAGCAAAAACAAAAAAGUUCUCCAGGUUCAAAAAGAUUCAGUCAAUGCAAAAGGAUCUGGUAGUUCUAUUUAUUCCAAUCUGAGCAUUGAAACCGUUAGCUACAAUUUGGUUCGAAUCAGAGGAGUUAAAGCUAACCGUUACAUUUGUUUUAAUUUUACAAGUAAAACACUUAUUGCUCAGAAAAAUGGCAACAACAUGGACUGUGUAUUUGAGGAAUUGCAUAGUGAAAAAUCUUCUAGAACAUACUUUAAGGCAGUAACAAAAAAAUGGUAUAUUGCAAUUAAGAAAAAUGGAAAUCUUAGACCAGGCUAUUUAUGGGAAGAAAAAAAAUUCGAUUCCCCUCCAAAAACUAUGGAGUUUGUUGCAAGGACUUAUAUGUGAUACCAGCUAAAAAACAAAAAUCAAAAUAAAACAUAAGAAACAAUCCGCAGCUGAAAGUAGUAAGAGCCCACCAACAAACGAAUAAAGCAAAAAAUCAAGUUGAAAAAGGAAAUGUGGACAACAUUUCAAACUAAACAAAUUAUAUCCUUAUUUUUUCCAAAGUAUUUGAAGUUUUUGAUAGGUGCUUAACAUUAAUGGAUAUAAUGUAUAUUUAAACACUUUUAUUAAAUGUUUUGAGGAAUGCUAUGGCGAUUAACUCGAUAAUAAAAAGUCUAUGUUUAAAACUGAAACUCAAUCGAAAUGAAUUGUUACUGAAAAGUUUAUUUGAAAAAUGUUUAAACUAAUGGAUAUAAAAUAA